UGAUAAUAGAAUUGCGAGACAGGAGCUGUUAAAAUAGAAACUUUGGUAAUGUAUUGGUCAAUCUUCAGCAUGAAAUACAUUAUCAACUGAAAAAAAACUGAUAGUGAUUAAUGAUGAAACCCCUGCAGCUACUGUGGCAUUUCAGGUAACUCAAUGUCGCCACUGAGGUUGGCUGGGGUUGUAUCAGUGGGUGUGGCUGAUAAUGUUAGCUUGGCAUGCAGCAGGGACACCUGGAGUGGUUGUGGUUGCUGUGUAUUGGCUUUUCAGGCUGUCAAGGAACCUGCGGCUGCUUUCACAACUCCCUGGGUGGGAAGCCAGAAUAUUUGGGGCCCAGCUGUGGUUGGCACAGCAGUCUGCAUUUUCCUGUGUUGGGGUAAAGUGUCCCCAGGCCACAGGGGGAUAUGAGGCAACUGUAGUCACAGAAGGAAAAGAAGGAAAGGAAACUGAAUUAUUUGUCAUUGAGACACAGCACACCACUGCACACAACAAAAUGUUUCUUGUCAUGAGGCUGUUUGCUGGUUCUGCUCUGGUGAAUGAUUUGGAUGGACACCAACAAAGAGAAGAUAUGUGGCCGUUGAUGCAGCUGCUAAAUAUCAAGAUAUUAUCCAGAUCCACAAUACUAAAGCUUCUUAUAUCUUGUAUCUACACACACUGUAAGACCCAAUAGUACAAGUUACAUAAAAAACACAAGUUAUAAUUACUCAAAAACAGUUUAAAAGGAAGUUAAAUUUAAAUAUGUGUGUCGUUUGAACGAAAAUUUUAAUUUAUGUUUAUCGUGCUCAUUCAUUUUAGUUGUACUUGGGUUUUAAGCAGGUAAUGUAUGACGUCAAGUACGACGCGACACGUACGCGACGUGCUCAGAAUUUUGAAGGCCGCCAUAUUGUCCCCUCCCUUCGAAAAUUGGCGGUCUGAAUUGCAAGUGGACGGAAGUAAACGGGCUAAACACUACAGAUGAACGGAUACGUCGGUUACACCAACUCGGCGCGUUUUGCUGAAAAUUCGCCUAACUCUGUUGUGACUCAGGUUGCCAAGCUAGCCUACGGUAUCGCUGCUUUCGAUUGCGGUUACAGUGAUUGUGACCUUGGCCGCUGUUGUCUGGAUGAUGAACCAGACAUUAAUGGAAAGACACUUGGGCUCCACUUGAUCAGUGUUUCUUCAACCAAUACCACACUCUUCUGCCCAGAGAAGAUUGGGGUUGUCCUGGGAUUAACAUUGAAAUCGAGACUACCACAUUGUCUGAUCGCUUUUUUGGGCUGAUUUAUACCUUACAUUUGAGGUAACCCAAAGGAGUUUGCCAACAUGUUUGAUUUUAAUUAGAUGGUUUUGAUGGGUCUAAAUGAUGGGUGAUAGAUAGUGGAAACCAAGAUUACGGAGUUUGAAAAAUGAACUUCAGUUAGUGGAGUAAUCCAGGUAUGCAAAGAAUGAGCAGUGAGUCAUAAUGUUUUGACAAGUAUUGAUACAUACUAAACAACGUUUAUAUAUAAAUAUUUAAAUAAUGAUUUAUAUAAUUAUUGGCACUUCUAAACCAGUUAUAGCCCAAAGGAUAAAGUCAUUUCUUUUUGGGCUCCUUGCACUGUUAUUCUAUGUAGUAACAGGUUGCAUGUUGAUGUGAGUUACUAAAUAAAAA